rnacentral:rRNA from 1 species
GACAGAGGGUGCAAACGUUGUUCGGAAUUACUGGGCGUAAAGCGAGUGUAGGCGGUUUGGUAAGUCGGAUGUGAAAGCCCCGGGCUCAACCCGGGAAGUGCACUCGAUACUGCCAAGCUAGAGUAUCGGAGAGGUUGGUGGAAUUCUCGGUGUAGAGGUGAAAUUCGUAGAUAUCGAGAGGAACACCGGUGGCGAAGGCGGCCAAUUGGACGAAUACUGACGCUGAGACUCGAAAGCGUGGGGAGCAAACAGG